rnacentral:lncRNA from 1 species
CGGAUAGCUAAAGUAUCUGAGGACCCCUUCUUUUCCCCUCCUAAGGGUCAGGUUUCCUCACCUGUGUCACUUUUGGGGUGACUCUCUUGGCUCCGAAAAUAAACUGCGGAGAGCUCUGCGUCGCUCUGUUGCCUGGGUAACAACUUUGUUUCCCAACUCCCCCAACCCCCACCUCCGGGUUCCCGCUUGACUUUGCUGGCCAAUCAUGGAGGAGUCUUCUUUGACCCCCUCAUGGGAAUCAACCAAUCGGAGCCCGUGCCUGUUGGGGUCUGUAGCCGCCCUUUCUAAUUAACUAGGUCUACCCCUUUAAGCGUCGGUCUCAGUGAGCGUCGCUCCAGAGGGAACGCGCCCACUGCGGAGACCGGUUUUUUCCGGCCCCAGAAGGCCCCGACCCCGCCUCUCUCGCUGUCUCGGCCGCUUCACGAUUUACUUCGAAGUGCCACCAGGAUUCUUCUAUCUGCACUGCUGCUACUGGGCCCUCAUUUGAUGCCCCAGUAACUUCCACUGGAAUGUUUGGUGAUACAUCUUUGGGAUUUGGAUUAAGUUUCUCUGGAGCAUAUGGAGCAGCUGCUGUUGCAUCUAGUAAGAUUUUACGAUUAUUGGGAUGUAUUUGGAUGCUCAC